rnacentral:rRNA from 1 species
UCAAACGUAGGGUACAAGCAUUACCCGGUUUUAUUGGGCGUAAAGAGUCUGUAGGCGGUCAUUCAAGUUGAGAGUUAAAUACUUCGGCCUAACCGAAGGGAGGCUUUCAAUACUGUUUGGCUAAGAGGCAGCUAGGGGGUAACGGAACGUAUGGUGUAGCGGUGAAAUGCGUUGAUAUCAUACGGAACAUCUAGGGGGAAGCCAGUUACCUGGGGCUGACCUGACGCUGAGAGACGAAAGCGUGGGUAGCAAAACGGAUUAGAUACCCGUGUAGUCCACGCCCUAAACGAUGCCUGCUAGAUGCUUGCCACUUUGUGGUGAGUGUCGAAGCUAACGCGUUAAGCAGGCCGCCUGGGGAGUACGAUCGCAAGGUUA